UCGGAACGUGCCCUGGAGUGGGGGAUAACGUAGCGAAAGUUACGCUAAUACCGCAUACGAUCUAAGGAUGAAAGUGGGGGAUCCGCAAGGACCUCAUGCUCAUGGAGCGGCCGAUAUCUGAUUAGCUAGUUGGUAGGGCAAAAGCCUACCAAGGCAUCGAUCAGUAGCUGGUUUGAGAGAACGACCAGCCACACUGGGACUGAGACACGGCCCAG
rnacentral:rRNA from 1 species